rnacentral:rRNA from 1 species
GACGAACGCUGGCGGCGUGCUUAACACAUGCAAGUCGAACGGAAAGGCCCUGCUUUUGUGGGGUGCUCGAGUGGCGAACGGGUGAGUAACACGUGAGUAACCUGCCCUUGACUUUGGGAUAACUUCAGGAAACUGGGGCUAAUACCGGGUAGGAGCUCCUGCUGCAUGGUGGGGGUUGGAAAGUUUCGGCGGUUGGGGAUGGACUCGCGGCUUACCAGCUUGUUGGUGGGGUAGUGGCUUACCAAGGCUUUGACGGGUAGCCGGCCUGAGAGGGUGACCGGCCACAUUGGGACUGAGAUACGGCCCAGACUCCUACGGGAGGCAGCAGUGGGGAAUAUUGCACAAUGGGCGGAAGCCUGAUGCAGCAACGCCGCGUGCGGGAUGACGGCCUUCGGGUUGUAAACCGCUUUCGCCUGUGACGAAGCGUGAGUGACGGUAAUGGGUAAAGAAACACCGGCUAACUACGU